rnacentral:tRNA from 1 species
UAGAGUACUAACUUAUAUUAAAGUAUUAGAUUUUUAAUCUGAAGAAGGGUUCGCCG